rnacentral:rRNA from 1 species
UACGGGGGGGGCAAGCGUUGUUCGGAAUUACUGGGCGAAAGGGCUCGUAGGCGGCCAACUAAGUCAGACGUGAAAUCCCUCGGCUUAACCGGGGAACUGCGUCUGAUACUGGAUGGCUUGAGGUUGGGAGAGGGAUGCGGAAUUCCUGGUGUAGCGGUGAAAUGCGUAGAGAUCAGGAGGAACACCCAUGGCGAAGGCAGCGCUCUGGUCGGCAUCUGACGCUGAGAGGCGAAAGCGUGGGGAGCGAACGGG